AGCAUAUCAAUAAGCGGAGGAAAAGAAACUAACAAGGAUUCCCCUAGUAACUGCGAGUGAAGCGGGAAAAGCUCAAAUUUAAAAUCUGAUAGUGUUUGGCUAUCCGAAUUGUAGCCUAGAGAAGUGUUGCCAGUGCUGGACCGUGUAUAAGUCUCCUGGGAUGGAGUGUCGCAGAGGGUGAGAAUCCCGUGUUUGACAUGGACUACCAGUGCAUUGUGGUAUGCUCUCAAAGAGUUGAGUUGUUUGGGAAUGCAGCUCUAAAUGGGUGGUAAAUUCCAUCUAAAGCUAAAUAUUGGCGAGAGACCGAUAGCGAACAAGUACCGUGAGGGAAAGAUGAAAAGAACUUUGGAAAGAGAGUUAAACAGUAUGUGAAAUUGUUGAAAGGGAAACGUUUGAAGUCAGUCAUGUUGGUCAGGGAUCAAGCCAGGUUAUUUGCUGGGUGUAGUUCCUGGACAAUAGGCCAAUAUCAGUUUUGAGUGCUGGAGACAGGCUGAGGGAAUGUGGCACCUUUGGGUGUGUUAUAGCUCUCUGUCAUAUGCAGCAAUUGGGACUGAGGAAUGCAGCACGCCGCAAGGCCGGGAAAUAAUUCCAUGUUCGUGCUUAGGAUGUUGGCAAAAUGGCUUUAAGCGACCCGUCUUGAAACACGGACCAAGGAGUCUAACAUGCGUGCGAGUGUUCGGGUGGAAAACCCUGACGCGAAAUGAAAGUGAAAGUUGAGAUCCCUGUUGUGGGGAGCAUCGACGCCCGGACCAGAACUUUUGGGACGGAUCUGCGGUAGAGCAUGUAUGUUGGGACCCGAAAGAUGGUGAACUAUGCCUGAAUAGGGUGAAGCCAGAGGAAACUCUGGUGGAGGCUCGUAGCGAUUCUGACGUGCAAAUCGAUCGUCGAAUUUGGGUAUAGGGGGAAAGACUAAUCGAACCAUCUAGUAGCUG
rnacentral:rRNA from 1 species